rnacentral:rRNA from 1 species
UCCUAGUACGAGAGGACCGGAGUGGACGCAUCACUGGUGUUCGGGUUGUCAUGCCAAUGGCACUGCCCGGUAGCUAAAUGCGGAAGAGAUAAGUGCUGAAAGCAUCUAAGCACGAAACUUGCCCCGAGAUGAGUUCUCCCUGAGACUUAGAGUCUCCUGAAGGAACGUUGAAGACGACGACGUUGAUAGGCCGGGUGUGUAAGCGCAGCGAUGCGUUGAGCUAACCGGUACUAAUGAACCGUGAGGCUUAACCUUACAACGCCGAAGCUGUU